GUGUUUAUUUUGGCAGCACAUAUACUAAAAUUGCAACAAUAAGAGAUUAGCAUGGCUCCACACAAGAAUGGCAUGCAAACUCAUAAAGCAUUCCAUAUUUUU
rfam:Erinaceus europaeus unplaced genomic scaffold scaffold00494, whole genome shotgun sequence